UUUUUUUUUUUUUUUUUAAUGAAGAACCGUUCCAUGAACAUUUUGCACAGAGCACAGAAUUGCUUCUAAAGUCAGUCCGGCGCGGUUGCAAUAGACAGCAAAAAGGUAAACGUUUGCCUGAAAUCCGCACGCCAGCUCCACCACCCCGCCCGAUGGUUCUGUAACAAUCAAGAAUGUGUGGACACCUACCUGUGGGAGGAGGCUUUCAGGGACAUUGUGUCUGGUUCCUGCUGACGCCAGCAUUCUGGAGAUGGACAGCUGUUCAAGGGAAUGAAGAUUCCCCCACAGGACAAGGACUAUUGCCUCCCUGAGUAUCCUAAAAGGUCUCUUGAAACAAACCAAACACUCAGAACUUCUGUGACUGUCAUGGACAGUGUCCUGUUACUGGCUUUAAACAGAGCCCCUCAUGCAGGAAGGGAGUGGGAGCUCCUGCCACAGAUGGGCGGAACAUCGGCAAGAAGGGUUAAAAGUGGCCAAAAAUAACAGUGCCUUCCAGAUGAGGUGACCUCAGAGCCAAGAGCAUCAUGGGCAGCUAGUGGCCUGCCAAUCACAGGACAUCAGCAUGCGCAGAGCCCAGCAUCUUCUCCAGGUUCAGCUUUUACAUCUUCCUUUGGAGGGCCUACUCCGAUCUCAGGACCGCAGAAUAGGUACUUGUUUGAAAAAAGGAAAAUGAAAAAAGAAGAAGAA
rnacentral:lncRNA from 1 species